GUUCGGCUCGGUCGGGCAGGCGGGACGGGGCCGGUUCGGCCCAGAACGGCCGGGCCGGUCCGGUUUCUGCUUUUCUUUUCUUUUAGCCUUUUCUUUUUCUGGUUUUCUUAUUUCUUUGAUAUCUUUUGAUUUUGAACUCCAAAUUGGUCCAAAUAAAUUCUAAAAAUUUGUAAAAUCAUGUUUUAUCAUGAUUCAAAUUUUGGGAGUGAUUUCCCCUCAAAAUAAAUAUCUAAAAAUACAUUUGUCCUAUAAAUGCCUUUAGGGCUAUAUAACUAUUUAAAUAAAAUACUUUUUCAACUCCAAAUAAUUAUCCAAAAAUUAUGGGAUAGCUUAUUUAUGCAAUAAACCCCUUUUGUACAUAAACCCUAUUGGUUUGA
rnacentral:lncRNA from 1 species